UAAUACGUAGGGGGCAAGCGUUGUCCGGAUUUAUUGGGCGUAAAGAGCGUGUAGGCGGCCAGGUAGGUCCGUUGUGAAAACUCGAGGCUCAACCUCGAGACGUCGAUGGAAACCAUCUGGCUAGAGUCCGGAAGAGGAGAAUGGAAUUCCCGGUGUAGCGGUGAAAUGCGCAGAUAUCGGGAAGAACACCCGUGGCGAAGGCGGUUCUCUGGGACGGUACUGACGCUGAGACGCGAAAGCGUGGGGAGCGAACA
rnacentral:rRNA from 1 species